rnacentral:rRNA from 1 species
UGAGCAAUCUGCCCUUCUCUUCGGAAUAAGCGUGGGAAACCGCGUCUAAUGCCGAAUACGACCUCCUUUCGCAUGAUCGGAGGUGGAAAGCUCCGGCGGAGAAGGAUGAGCUCGCGGCCUGUCAGCUAGUUGGUGUGGGUAAUGGCCCACCAAGGCGACGACGGGUAGCCGGCCUGAGGAGGGUGACCCGGCCACACGUGGGACUGAGACCACGGCCCAGACCUCCGUACGGGAGCAG